rnacentral:rRNA from 1 species
AUACGCCUGUCUCGCAGAUUAAGCCAUGCAUGUCUUAGUGUAAAUAUUUUACAGUUAAACUGCGGAUGGCUCAUUACAACAGUUAUCGUCUGCACGGGCAACCUUUCUACGGAUAUCCGUGGAAAUACUACAGUUAAUACGUAACACAAGAUUUCGGUUUUGUGUCACAUAUUACUGUGAGGAGAUGGCAAGGUUUACCUUGUCCUCCAGGAAUACUUCUAUGUAAGAAUCGCAUUCGUGCGAACGCCCGUCAGAGUUUCUGACCCAUCAGGUUUCGACGGUAGGGUAUUGGCCUACCGUGCCUAUAACGGGUAACGGGGGAUUAGGGUUCGAUCCCGGAGAGGGAGCUUGAGAGAUGGCUACCACAUCUAGGGAAGGCAGCAGGCGCGCAAAUUACCUAUCCUUGACUCAAGGAGGUAGUAAAUAGCAAUAAUGACGCAUGAUUCUAAUCGUGCGAUCGGAAUGAGUGGUUUCUAAACCAAACCACGAACUCAAUUGGAGGAAAAGUCUGGUGCCAGCACCCGCGGUAAUACCAGCUCCAAUAGCGUAUAUUAUUGAUGUUGCAGUUGAAACGUUCGUAGUCGAACUUUUUCUGUUAAAGACAUGUGUCUGUCUGUCAUAGACAGCAUGUGCUCUUAUUGCAGAAAAGUGUUAAUUCGUCUAUGUGUUCCACAUAGGCGUCUAUUAACACUGUACUUUGAGUGAAUCGGCGUGUUCCACGCAGGCUUUAUGCCCUGAACGAUUUACCAUAGUAUAUCCAUAGUAUAGGAAUGUCAUCUUGUCUUCUCGGUGGCAUUUUUGAUACUUAAAAGAACGGUCGAGGCCAUUCGUAUUCAACUGCCAGAGGUGAAAUUCUUUGAUUAGUUGAGGACGAACCAUUGCGAAAGCAUCUGCCAAGGACGUCUCUUUUGACCAAGAACGAAAGUUAGGUGAUCGAAGAUGAUUAGAUACCGUUGUAGUCCUAACUAUAAACUCUACUAUCCAAGAAUUGGAUUGGUGGCUUUACGCCUCUCCAGUACUUUCUGAGAAAUCAAAGUCUUUGAGUUCUGGGGGGAGUAUAGUUGCAAGGCCGAAACUUAAAGGAAUUGACGGAAGGGCACCACCAGGAGUGGAACUUGCGGCUUAAUUUGACUCAACACGGAAAAACUUACGAGGAUAAGACAAACGAAGGAUUGACAGAUUGAUCGCUCUUUCUUGAUUGUUUGGGUGGUGGUGCAUGGCCGUUCUUAGUUCGUGGAUUAAUUUGUCUGGUUAAUUCCGUUAACGAACGAGACUUUGACUUACUAGUUAGAAUCCUUUAUUCAUAAAAGAUUCUUCUAGAAGGACCAUGUGUUCCUAACACAAGGAGGCGCGAAGCAAUAACAGGUCUGUGAUGCCCUUAGAUAUCCUCGGCAGCACGCGUGUUACAAUGAUGUAUAGAACAUGUUUCGCCUUUCGAAAGAACGGCGCAAUCAUCAAUAUACAUCAACCCAGGGAUUGUUUGUUGUAAUGUCAAGCAUCAACGAGGAAUUCCUAGUAAGCGUGUAUCAUUAAUCCGCGUUGAUUACGUCCCUGCCCUUUGUACACACCGCCUGUCGCAUCUAUUGAUUAGGUUGUAUCAUGAGUUGAGCAGAGAUGGACAAAAGAUUUAUCUUUUGUUUGUUGAAGCUUUGCAAAUGGUAUUACCCAGAAACAGAUAAAGUCA